rnacentral:rRNA from 1 species
CCUACGGGUGGCAGCAGUGGGGAAUAUUGCACAAUGGGGGAAACCCUGAUGCAGCAACGCCGCGUGAGUGAAGAAGGAUUUCGGUAUGUAAAGCUCUAUCAGCAGGGAAGAAGAAAGACGUAACCUGACAAAGAAGCCCAGGCUAACUACGUGCCAGCAGCCGCGGUAAUACGUAGGGGGCAAGCGUCAACCGGAUUGACUGGGUGUAAAGGGAGCGUAGCCGGCUGUGCAAGUCGGAGGUGAAAGCCCGUGGCUCACCCGCGGAACUGCUUUGGAAACUGUGUAGCUGGAGUACUGGAGAGGCAGGCGGAAUUCCUAGUGUAGCGGUGAAAUGCGUAGAUAUUAGGAGGAACACCAGUGGCGAAGGCGGCCUGCUGGACAGUAACUGACGUUGAGGCUCGAAAGCGUGGGGAGCAAACAGGAUUAGAUACCCUAGUAGUC